CUUAACGGCUGAGCUGAAGUCGAUUUAAUUUGCAAUUUGUUAUGAAAUGGUAGGUAUUGUUUUACCUUCCUUCAUCCCCAGGCCGGGGGAACGGGUACAGUGAGUUCCAGAGAUAAAUGGUGAGCCAAAUAAUUACAGCCUGGCUCCUAGGAAUGGUUUGAGGAUUAAUGGCUGUUUGUACAGCACUUCAAGAUGCUUAGCUGAAAUGUGCUUUGAACUCUGGGGCAUUUCAGGCUGCAGGUGAUGGGUACCCCCAGGGUCUGGCAGAGGUCAACACUCAGAGGAUAUCAGAUCUUUUGAAGCAGACAUGCAGCUCCAGGAAUGUGGAUGGCCAGACUCAUGGGGGAGGUUUAUUUUAGACCUGAGAAAUGCUCCUAUGUAGAAUGGGAAGGUGAUUUGGAGAGCCUGUCCUUUCAGGCUCACUGCUUUUAAGCAGAUGUGCCUGUUUGAAAGAGAGACCCAAGGAAUAAUACAUCCCGUGAAUGUUUCUCUAGCCAUCUUUCUGGUCUGUCUGUUGAUCAGCAGUGUCCCAGCUGGUAAGAAGUCCGUGCUCAGCUGUCACAGAUGUGAGAAGAAAACAGCUUGAGCUGCCUUCUGAUGCCAACCAGAGUUUCCUCAGACUUUUCUCCUGAGGACCCCAUUUGCAUUAAGCCAGAGCACCGCAUUUCAGGUGUUUUGGGGCUAAUAUGCCAUGAACGACCUCAGCUUCUCUGGGCUGGGACAUUUGCUAUCAUUAUCAUGAGUGAGGAAACUUUUCUGUCGGGUGCCUGCAAAGUGUUGGAGUCCCAGCCUGGCUUUUACAGCUCUAGAAGGAAGUGCCGAAUGCAUUGUUUUCUAAUCUUGCUGCAGAGAUUUUUAGAGGGGAGGCUGUGCUCUGGGAGGCAGUGUAAGAUACAGAAGGAUCCAACCAGCUUUCACUUGUCUGACUACACAAACAGCCGUCAAGGGCCAGGCACUUGGGGAAAGUUCUCCCUGUUCCAUGGGAGAAGCAUGUGCAUUUGUAAUGAUCCUUGAGUGCAGCAGCCACGAAUGGUGCAGGAGGGAAGAAUCUCUCUCUGGGUCACAGGAGUCCCUUGGAGUGGUGUGGGGAGCAGUUCAAGGCUCCCAGCAUUGUCCAGAGCAGCAGCUGGUGGUGCUGUGUGACAAGGCUCUCCUGACACUGAGGUACAGGGACUGUCAGGGUACUAUGUUAGCAACUGCAGUGGCCAUGGGAAAAUGGAGGACAUGUUAUGCUGAGGGGUCUUAACUGAACAGAUACAGCGAGUCUAUCCCAAAUCCUUUGCUAGUCAUACCAAAUACUUUGCUACUGUGGGGGAAGGGAGUGCAGCAUAUCUCCUCUCUGCUGUUCAAGGUUUCAGAACAUCCAGCACCUCUACAGAACAUCCUCUGGUCUUUUGUAGUCUUCAUGUAAAAGGCAUGACCUAAUCUUCUGUCUGCUCAGUUCUCAGCCACACAGAAGGCUCUUCAUCUGGUAGGAAUGAAUUCCUGGUGCUGAAUGUCCCCUCCUUAGUAUUUUCAACCUCCCUUUAAGGUUAGGAGAUGACACUGAUCCAUGCUAGUUCAUAUAUUGCUGAAUCAGUCCUCUUUGCAGUAUGUCCAAUAUUUUCUUGCUAAAAAGUCUUUUAAAUGGCUGCUGAUAGUCAGGGACCUCAGUGUCAAUAUUGUCCAUCUAGCUGGUGAGAAUACAUUAGGAAACAGACCUGUCAUCUGAUCUUUGACAACCCUUUUUUUUGAAGCUUUGAGUCUUGGUUAUGGUUAAUGCAGAUAAAAGUGUCCAUUCCCACCAUCCCUGUCUCUGGAGAGCAGCACACUGAAGAGGAAUGAAGGGCCAUUGGGAAUACUAAGCAUCAUUUUAUUAUGACCUUUACAGAGACAGUGGGAGAAUGGAGAAGGAACACAAGCAAGACAAUAUAAACCCACAUGGACAGUGCUUAAGGUGGAGAGUACAAACCCAAAGAGACUUCCAGAGACAAACAGAUGGGAGAAGAGGAAGAAAGAUGGAAACAGGAGACUGAGCAAGACAGGCAAGGAACGGCAGAGCCAUCUUCUUCCAGUUUAUCCAGGGAGUGGCAAGAGCAGACCUGGGGCUCUCCAUCCAUGAAAAAACCCAGCCUUCUGCUCACCAUUCUCCUAUUUUCCUGAAAUCUCUGCUUUUGCUCCUCCAGGCAACCAUUAAUCUAAUAUUAAGCCCCUUAACCUCUCUAAUUGUUCUCUUUCAGUGUCAGCUGGUUUCCUAUUAACCUUUCAAUCUCUCAGUAAUGCAGUUACUUCUGACUCCAGCCAGACCCGGCUCUAAAGCUUUACCUCCGGCAGUGAAUUUUCCAAGCUUUCACUUUUUUUUCUCUUUCUUUUCGGUAAUGAUUAUUACUGCUGUUAAGCAGCCAGUUUGAACCAGCCUCUAAGUGCACAGGGCUGAACCAGUUGGAGUCUAUAAAUAGCCCUUCGCUAACCUUGCGCCUUAUUUCAUUAAGUUGAUUGGCUUCCCUCUCUCCACUUCAUUGCAUCUCUAUCUCUCUCUCCCCUCUCCAUUAUUGAUGCUGGUUCUUUUGUUGCUAUCUGAGACACCUGCUUGUUGAUAGCAGGGAAGAUCAGGCCUAGGUUUUUCCCUCCUGAACAAAAUAGUGUUGUUGCUGGGGAAGCAUCUCUAGAGUUUCAUAACAGGGGGAAAGCAGAGGGUGAGGCUGGUCUGAGACAGCAAGUAGGAAAACUUCCACACCAUGCAAUAGGAAAUUGCGUCGCUGAGCACCAGUCACAGGAACAGAGUUUGCCACCCGUAGUCUGGGUUUCUCCUGUGACACUUACUGAGGUUAUACUUGAAUGCAGUCUCUUGUGCAAACCUCGUGGUGCUAUAUCAAAGCCAAGGCAUCUGUCCAAGGACAAAUGGCACUGCUGUUCAAAUCAAGCAGACAUACAGUACCCGCAAUGCAACGUGAACUGUCUGCUGUAUCUGAGACCAGUCUUCUUUGACAUCACUAAACAAUAUACUACUUCUGCUUGACCCUGCAACUUAGUAGAGCAUAGUUUGCUUCACUGACCAUCACCGUGCCUCAGCUCAACAGCAUUUUCAUGCUGUGUCUCUUCUAAUUUACCCGCUUCUUUUAGUGCUAAUGCAGUUUUUGAGCUCUGCUCAACCCUGCUGCCUCUCUGCCUCUCCCCAGGGCCUGCGCACUGGUCCUUUUUUUUUUUUUUCCAAAAUACAAUGAAUGUUUGCAGCAAAGACUGAGUUGAGCAGUUGCAUAAAUUGACCUGAAAUCUGUGAGGUCAGUGUAAAUCACAAACCAGAGCUCAACAUCACAAGGCUGUAUCUGAGUGGCACUUGCAAACUGCUCAUGUGCAGCAGUGUAGUGGGGCAGAGCAUCUGCCAGUGCCCACAAGUACUGGGGUGCUAUUGCAGUAACAUAACAGGAUUUAUGGUGGAUUCAGCAACAGCAGUGGCUUCUACAGGUAGAGAAACACCAUCUUAUUGUGGAAGAGCUGGGAUUAGGGAUCCAGUCAUGCCUCUAUUUUGCUCCCUGAGGAGGGGCAAGUUCUUUCCCCAUAAAGCCUUAUUUUUCACCAAAGAGAGAGAUUUAGAGGAAACUUUUCCAAUAUGUGCUUAGGCUGACGUUUAUAGCCCUUUGCUUCAGCUCAAAAGGAUUUGUGUGUCUAAAAGCUCUUCUGUUUUUUUUCUAGCCGUAUCAUUUGUCUAACACCAGCUGUUACCUUUCCCUGAGAGUCCUGCCUCAAAGUCAACAGCAACUUACCAAAAUAAUAGGAGCUAUUCUCUUCUGCUCUCUGUACAGCUCUGUGUGCCCCUACUUGCUCACUUACUGCUAUUCCUUGUUGUUGGAAGGGCAGAUUCUGGCACCAACAAGCCUUUGUCUUAUUUUCUGGCAAACAACCUCAGUCUGCAACAAUGCAGGAAAGACAAACAGUGAAGAAAUGAGAGCUGGUAAAGCUGGGGUUAGAGGAGAAGGUUAACUUCUGGUGGCUUCUUUUUUUCACCGCUGAGUUUGACGUGAGAAAGGUUUUGUAUAGGCACUGCAUGUGUGGAAAGCACACUCCCUCCACCCCCUCGAGGGCAGGUGGCAGCUGGCAUUCACAACCUGUUUAAUAAUACAGGUUCUCCAGAAUGGCUGCGUGCUCAUUUUCCGUCGCUCACAGCCUCCUUGCCUUCAUGCUUUUUCUUUUAAAUCCUUGGGCCUCGCCUUUGCUCCCCAGGCACCCAGGUCUCAGCAGGACAAAGGAGCCUCCCUGGGUGCUGCAGUGGGACCCCAGGGGUCACUGGGCAGUGCCUCCCUCCUGCCUGCCCCUCAGCCCUCCCAGUGACCACUUUGGUUGCCGUGAGUUUUGUGUGGAGCUCAGGAAACUUCACGUUGUGGCUCUGGGUGCCUCAGGGCGAGUGGGUUGGUGGCUGAGCCAGACUCUGGCCUUGCUUAUGAAGGCUGGAAUCCAGCCCAGGAUAUCGCCCAUCAUUUGUGGUAGGAAGAGGAGGUCCAAGGACUCUCUGUCCCUGCUGAACGGGGACAAAGCUCCUGAGGCCAGUCAGCACCCUGCUAACAGAGCCCCAGCAGAACGAGGGGUGCAACUUGGCCAUAGAGGAGAACUCAGGGUCUGAGUCAAGCUGAGUACUACUCCCACACACGCCACUCACAUACUGUCACGGUUUGUUGGCUGCUCAGAGCCCCUUCAAGGGAGGAUUCCACGCUGCCUCUGGGAAAGUCAAAGCCCAUGGAAAGCCCAUUCGACUCACUGAUGAGCAUGCUGCCCUUCCGCAGUGGGCACUGUGUUGUCCCUAGCUGCUGGGAGACGGGAGCAGGACUGACCUGUGCCAGCAAAGCCUGGCAGAAUGGUGGCAUGUGGUUGCAGAGUGACAUGGUCUGCCUGCUAACAAUGCUGCCUUUCAGUGAAGGUGAUCCAGAAUGCUGUGGAGCAGAACAUGUACUCAGAGGGGAAGCUGAUGGGAGAUGCAAAUUCCAUUGCAAAACAACUCCUGCUUUUUUGAUCUGUAUUAUGACAGGUGAAUGGUAUCAGACCCUGUGUUAGCCACAUCCCAGUUGCCCAUUUUCCCUGGCUUCUAUGGUCAGUCCCAUCUAUUCCACUUCCCUUGGGAAGCUUCCUAAAUAUUUAUCCCAGUGAUCAAUCAUAUGACCCUACUGUAGCAAUGUGAUACAGCUUUAGUUGUGCUAAUCAGCUUAGCUUGGGCCCCUGACCCCUGUCAUCUUAUUUUAGGAGAAGACUUUACACAGUGCCUGGUAAGGGCUGUUCAGUCCAGAGGAUUUAAAUCCAAAGUGAGAAAUAGCAACACAGACUUUUGCUUUUUUAUUUUGCAGCCAGAACUCAGUUUACCAUUAUUCUGAUUUGUCCUUUCUCUAGGAGGAGUUGAGCUUUGAAUAACAGGCAAAAGUUUCAAUUGCAUGGUAAAAUAUUUGACUCUUUUGACUCUUAACAAAAAACCACCCUAGAUAGUAAAUGAUGAGUGCUUUGGCUGAAGAACUUAAGAGAUGUUCAGUCAUCCAAAUGGACUCGGACACCGAAUCACUUCUCUCCUUUCUCCUCUGAGCUCUAAAUGAGGUCCUUUCAAGCAAAAUGGGCUGUAGAGGAAAGAAUAGUGUCUACUGCAGGAGACUGGAAACAUUUGUCUUGAACCUCUGGGGGUUUUGUGGGGGAGAUAUCAGAGGAAGUUGGAUCUAAAGAGACAUGUAUUCUUGGAGUGUUUUUUUCUCCACAGAGAGACAUCUCUACUCCAAAGCACCAGGAAAAGUCAGAGAUGAAUGAGCAGCCACGAGCAGCCAAGACCCCAGCUCAUCAGCUGGUCAGCCACUCCUACUCAUGGUAGAAACUAUGCUGAUACCUGAGUCUCUUUCCAAUGCUCAGGGAGUGCAGUGCAAGCCCUAUGGACAUUAUAUGAAAAUAUGAACUAUAUCAUGCCUGGAGGAACUUGCUUUAUUAUAGACAUGAGUACUAACAACAUCACUCCAUAAUCUCUGAAGAGAACAGACUGGCUUUGUAAGGGAGAGACAGAUGAAGGCAAAUUAACCAUACUGAGGGCAAAUUAACUGUACUGGGGUAAAAGAACAACUGGAAAUAUGUUGUUGUGUAAGAGGAGGGUCUGACAGAAACUGAUCACUUUCUAAAGCCUGGGAGCUACUAUCAGUGGUGAAUUCUGUCAUCAGCCCUGCCAGUGAACGCCCAGUGGGCUGCCAGGGCAGGGAACAUCUCCAGACCUGCCUGAGGACUUGCCCAGCCUAGUUGCUGCAGCAGCCUCAUCUCCUGAGUUUCUGAAGCACGAUCUGGAUGCAACAGGAAGAUUUUCAAACUCUGUUUGCCACAUCUCCAACCCUUCCCCCUCUCUGUGAAGCAUGUCUUUGAGUCAGUUAACUAUCCUGCUUUCUCAGCAGAUGAAAAGAUCCUCGUUUUUAGCAUCCCAGGGAAGAUAUGGCAACUGCCCAGGUGUAGUAGCAGACUUUGAACAUCCUCAAGGUUUUGAACUUGUGUUGUCCUCUUGACACCCAUGACUUGAAUAUAGUCUGGAACUGAUUAACUUGGUUCCUUCAAUCUCUGGAAGGGAAUGUUCUUUCUGCAGUUAAAUAUUUACUCAUCACUGCGCAUAGACCAGGCAUUACAGAAGCCUGGGCAGCAUUUGCAUUUUCUUCCCAUCAAUUGAAAUUAAAAGGAUCAUCCUCUAGUAUUUUAGUGCUGCCACUUCCAUCCUUGGUGGUAGUCCAGUCAUGCCCUGUUCAACUUCGCUAUCCUGUUAGCUUCAGCAACAUUCCUAAACCAUGAGAUUUGUAGCCCACACCACGGGGAGCCCACGUUGCACAUCCAACAGAUUCUUCAGUUCCAAAGGACAUGGCAUAAAUCCCAUUUCUGAAAAUAAUGUGUCUCUAGCACUUACAAAUGCCUUUGCAUGGCAUUGCUUUCUGAGAGGUCGAGCUCCUCCCUCCCCAGUCUUCCACUGGCAGAAGGAGUUUUAUGGUAAAAGUAAUUUCUAUCUUAGGUAGCACUGCAGUGAAAUGGUUUAAAUGAGAAAAUCUGAAACACUGAUAGGAGCUUUUAGAAAUACUGGGAUAUGCCUAUCUUCCCACCAGUUCCUACCUGCUGUAAAUACCUCUGACAUGCCAAUAUACCCAACAGCUACAUAUCACCCCUCUCCACUGCUGCUCAGUGUCAGACUUCUCCAUCCUGACCAUGGCAGGCCAGAGAGAACUGUUUGCCAGCCCCAGCCCCUGGGACACCAGCAGGUUGGCAUUGCUGGAUCUGUGGCGGGGAGUGAAGAGAAGCCAGGAGGUGUUUUGGCUCCGUUCCAGGCUGAGUAAACACAACAGCUUUUUCCUGGGAAUAGGUGUAGUCCCUGACUAGGGUAUUGAUGGCAGUGAUGUCCCUGUUGCUCCUCCUGGCAGAAGGAGUCUCCUGCUUCCUCUGGCUCAGGCAGGGGCUCCUUUUCUUUUUCUCUUCAUCCCCAUGGCACCCUGCUAUUAGCUUACCAUUUCAGUCACCAAUGACAGCAACCAAAAAAUAAUACUACUGUACUCAGGUAAUCCAUAGGAAAAUCCCAAAUCAGUGCACAAAAGGUGGAGAUGGUGCUCAUGCAUUUUCCCCCAAAGGCCUUAGGCAAUGGAAAUUUUCUCAAGCUCCAUUCAUUAACAAAAUAGAUGAGCAGUUAUGUAAGGUCAUGUGAGGAAAGUGGUUGGUCUUUGGUCAAUGAAAGAGUUAGUCACACAUCAUUGAGCUGGAUGGCCCUGGGAGGAAAUGUGGAGCCACUCUUUGUGUGUUCAAGGACUGAAGAGGGAGAACUUUAGCUGUAAUUCCUCACUACCCCCUGAGCUUCGGCACCCCCUUUACAGACUAGGCAUUGCAGGAGGCGUCUGGUGAUGUUAACCAGAAAAUAGGGAGUUGAAGUCUGUUGAGGUCCUCCCCACCUUCCUCUUCCCAAAUUACUCAACCCUCCUCUGAAGGAAUUAAGCAACCACCUGAUGAUUUUAGGGUGCAAAUGUGCUAUUUUGCAUCCCCCCAGCUCAUCUGCUCUGGAAGCACUCAGAGGCCAAUCUCUUGAAGGUUAUUUCAGACCAUUGGACUAGCAAGGCAGCAAGGCUUGGCUGGUAGCCUCCACAGGACAUGGAGCAGCAGUCAUCUGGCACAAGCUAUCAGUAGGACUCAUGGCCUGAUGAGUGCAGAGGAGGCCUGGAAAGAAAACUCAUGUGGGGCAGGUAGGGAGAAUGUGGCUGUCAGGUUGUACCCAAAUCAUAGUUCAAUGCCUGAGGGCUGGUGAUAAGGUGUAAUCCUGCAAACCAAAGUCCCUCCCACAUUUGCUGGUCUUCCCCAGUGCUGAAAUUGUGAAACCCUGGAAACCUGCUGUGGAGAGGACACCCUAACCCACCUGAAACCAUGGAAACAUGCUGCGAGGAGGACACCCUAACCCAUUGGGGUGGUGCUGCAGUGCAGGGUACAGAUUCAGUCCUCAGUAAAAGCUCAGCUGUCUCCCUGAGCAGAUGGUUUCCAGGAAGAGCCACAUUCCUGACUGUGAGGAGCUGAAAGGACUGCGUAUGGGAUAUGCCUUAAAAUAGACAGAGAUAUAGAAACAGAGUUCAGGUCCGAGGCAGAGAGAACUUGAUGGCAUCUCAGGCGUUUGUUCAGGAAGGGAAGUGCUGCUAAAACUGCAACUGCCUCAGCCUUGGCUACAAGUGUCCCUGAUAAACCUAGGGUUGUUUUCACUUAAGCAAAGGAUUCUAGUUGAGAUUUUUUUUCCUGAUAAAUUCCUUUCUGUUUUAUUGUUUUCUACCUCUCUAUAAAACAAGCUAAGGGAGUAAUAGAUUCCCCCUUUCCCAAAGAUUUGAGAUAUUGUGGAAAGAGAUGUAUCUUGAAUUUGGAGAAAAAGCUAGUCUCUAACUUUUCAAAGAAUUGAUAUCUUGCUAGUGGGAAAAAAAGCCCUUUUUGAAAUAUUUUUGAAAUAUUUUAUUUCAGUAACCUUAAAAUGAUGUAUUUAGAACCUUUUCAAUAUAUCUAGCCUUCUGUAUUUGAAUGACUGAGUAUUGUAAAUUGUGGUGAAAUUUUUUUUCUUAAAAAAAAAGUCUAAAUACUUAGAAAAGGGAUGCCCUCAGCAGUAUUUCAAGGUGACAAGUUCUUUAAAAGCAUCUCUUCCCCAGAAAUUAUUUGAUUGUGAGGAACAGGCAUUAAAAUUUGAGAAAAAUUUGGCGAAAAGUUUCCAGCAAAUUCUCCUAAAACCUGUAAAACAAUUCCUGACCAUAUGCAAACCAAACAGUGACGAGUUGCAAGAUGGAGCUUCUUGUUGGUAGCGGGAGAACUCAGAUGAAUUUUGGCUUCCAUUCUCAUUCUUUCUACAUAGUUCAGGUUUGCUCUUUGAAAUAGUUCCUAUAUGACCCCUGUCGAAAUAAUACACCACAGUGCCUGUUGUUUUGGUAAAAUACUCAGAGUGUGCAGAGUCUGCAGCGUUUGAAGAGCUGUUGGGACAGCACACCUCGGGUAAGAAGACCCCAGCACUAGUUAGGGCACAACAUCAGUGAGCAGAAGGAGAAAUCAGUUUUUCCUUACUGCCCACCUGCUGCUUAGCUCUCCAGCCAGCACAGCCUCACUGUCUUACAGUGUCUGCUGGAACGUGUGACACCAGGAGAACAUGUGAGUUAAUUAUUAAACAAAAUGGAGUCAUUAUGCCCUGUGUCACUGCUGUUCCUCACAUAAAUCUGCUGCACAGUAGACAAAUGAUCCUGUGCAAUGAGAACAAAGAAAUGUUUUCAGGAUGAACACAUUUUCCUCUGCUGGAGAGCUGCUUCCACUUCACCUCCCUGGAGCUAGAAGAGUGAUGCACUUGGCCUCCAUAAAGGUGGGGGGUUUGGGAAAGACAAAUGAAAGUGAUACAGAGCCUCAGGGUACUGAUUUCCAUGAAUAAUCUCCCCAGCUGUUAGCCUAGGUUCGGAGCCAUUUCCUUUUAGAGAACACAUUUCUACUAGCAACAUUUCAGAGUCCGGAAGGAAAUAUUUUAAAGUUACCUUUGGCAUUUCAAGGCUAGCACAAUUUCCACCAAGCUUCCCUCGAACGUCUAGAUAAAAUAUUAACUCCUGGACGAGGUGUAGAGGCCCUGCAGGCUGUCAAACAGUAACACAGUUAAGGAGACAGACUCUGGGACAGAGAUGGUGAGAUAACAUCCAAUACUUUAAAACCCAUCUGUGAUUAGUUUCACUUGACUGACACACAAGAAAAAACGAAGACUUAGAGGUAAGAUCCACAGAUGCCAACAGCCAGGGAAGAAGUCCUCUUAGCUGAAAUAGCUGGUCACCUCAGCUCUGGAAGGGGAUAGUAGAGAGCCAUUCUGGUUUCUCUGCUGUGAAGCCUCUCUGAAACUCCUUCUAUUACACAGUGGGGGAAGGGUCUCUCCUCUGUGGCUGCUAAGCCUGGCAGGCUUGGGAGACCUAGGAAGGGCAUGUGCUGUGGUAAAAAGAGUGUAAGGUCUGAGUCUCCAGCAGACCUCCGAUGUGUCCACAGGCUGCAGGAAGAGGGGUAGGAGUGGAGAUGAUGACAGUGGGAUGGGUCAGGCCAAGGGACACAGGUGUAUCUUAGAUAUUUGGCUUGUGUCCAUAAUGUGGUGUUCGGGUACUGUGUGGAGACAGAGGCCCGAGUGUCCACCUUUCACCACUUGGCAUAAUGGCCCUGUGGAGACAGAGCAGGGCAGGGUGGCUGGGAGGAAACACAUGGGCAACACUGGCCGUUUCCCUGGGAAUUUAAUUCCUGAGGAUCUGUGCUCCAAGCACUUUUGCAGGCAGCCUCUGUACUUGACUCAAGGCAUUGUGCUGUCCCUCUCUUCGCUGGCCAGUGCCAAGCUGAGUUGGUCCUUUGCUGCUCUAGUCAAAACCAGCAGAUGCUUUGGAAGGAGUCCCUCCCCUUUGCCACAUGCUGUAAUAGCAGGGAAACAGAAACACAGAGGUUCUGUGGCCUAGGCAAAGCCAAAAAGCAAAGGGACUGGCAAGGCUGACCAUGGCAGCCAGGACUCCUGCCUCUUGGGAAACAGCCACUGGCUUACAAUAUUACUUCUCUGAAUGUUGUUUAAAGGGACAACACAGAGCACACGCUUGCUCCUGCUGGGCUCAGUCAGCUGUGUUUGUGGUGGCUCUUGCUUUUCUUCAAGAGUUUACCUUGGCUCUUUCCCUACUGCUUCACUGGCACCCUGUGAAAGGACUGCAGUGACCCUUGUCCCCUGGAUGCAGAAGGAGCGCCUGGAGUAGACUGAGGAGUCAAGAAAUGUGCACGCUCCAGAACUGGCUAGCUGUGCUCGCAGGCCCGCUGAUGCCCAGCCAUGACUGGAUGUGAGGCAUGCAGUGAGGUUCUAUCCCACUCCUUGCACAUCUUGCACACUUUAGCAGUGCUGUGCUGUGUCCAGCUCCCUCAUCUGUGAUCCACGGGCUGCACAUGGUGGCCCAGCUUGCCCGGUAACCUCUUGGCUGUGAUGUUGGGCUUCAUCCCCUGUGUGGUGCUGGCUGUUGCUGCGUGCCUGAUGAGGCACCUGCUUCACUGAUGGCUCUCACCUCCAGAGCCACCCAGCCGUACACUGCCUUUGCUUCAGGGAUGCAGAUGCUGUGUGAGAGCUCUGUAGUAACCUGAAAAGAAUGUUCAGCGGGCUGCUGAGAAAAGGAAAGCUGGUGAGAAAAGGAGCUGACACCUGGCACUCCAGGGCUGUGUGGUCCAUUUUAUCACCGACUCUCCUUCACUCUGCUCUCCUGCCUCCUUCUCCAGACAGCAUCACAGGGAGAUGGCAUGAAGAGACCCUUAUCUGCAAAGACUGGGAAAAGCCUGGACGUGAAUAAAAGGCACAGCUGAAAGUCUGGCCUGCUUCAGGGUCACUGCACUCUUUCAUUCCUCCCUGAAGCAAGCAAGGGCAUAUCCCUUCACAGGAAGCAGGGGCAAAGCCCACUUCCUUGCCUGUGCUCUGAGUUGGCUGGAUGUGAAAUAGCUCCAGUUCAGGGGAGACAUAGGUGCAAAAGACCUGUGAUUGAGCUGAACCCUGCCUCUUGGUUUCUGUAGUCCACUUGCUUUCUGAUUCCCUAUGUUUACUGUUAGCAUGAGCCAUAAAGGAGCUUUCGUCUCUUUUUCCUCUCUGUCUCCCUCUGAACAACACAGAGGCCAUGUGUCACCAACCAGUUCUGGACAAGACCUAACUGCAAAAUGUGUUAAAUGAAUGUUAGUCCUCUAUUUCCAAAAUUGGCUGAUCCAGAAAGCUGCAAGUACACACAGGAAAAUCCCCUCUAGUGCCUUCCCCAUUGGGAUUUCUUGGGAGUUCAGCUGGCUGAGGAGAGCAAGCUGGUUGCUCUCAGGUCAUUCUGGACUGGUUCCCAGUGACCCUCUGAGCUGUGCCUCUCCCCUGCCUCCCUGCUUGUCAGAGUCUCAGUCUAACCCUUGCAGAGAGAUAGACACCCCUUUGUAGCCAGACAGCCUGUCUUGACUACCUAGAACCAGGACCUCGCAACUCAGUGCAUUGUGGACUCUCAGUAUCUCCACUACGUCGUGGCCAAGCACCUUCUCAGGGCAGUUCUGCAUAAAAUAUUCAGCAUCCCAGCAGGAGCAAGGUGUCAUAUCACUUGUCAUAUCACUUGGGUUAAGUUUAGGCAGAAGUCACUGUUAACAGACGGAUUAUUUUUAUUUAGAAAUGCAAGUGAAUGUAGUUCAUGGAUAGGGUAAGUUAUAAGGAAAAUACACAGAUGUCAUUCUGAAUUAGGAUAACUCUUUGCAGAGAGAAGUGCCUUCAGGUGCUCAGGACUUUGGCUAACUCAUGAGUCUGACUUGUCUGUGCCCUAAAUCAGGACUAAAGUGGCAAGAAAGGUCUGAGAACUUCAUCUUCCCUGCCUCUGGUGUUAAAGGUGAUUGAGGAGAUAGCAGGGCUCUGGAUACUGGUUCUGGGCAGCCAACACCUUCUUCCUUCUAAGGGGGACUGGACAGGCCUUUUUCACUUGCCCUCUGUAAACCUUAGCUUCUUUAACUACUGUGAUGGGAAAACACAUAAAAUUAAGUAAUUCUGUCUUCCCUCCUUCCCAAAGAACCUUUAUUUAUUGUUUUUACUUUACACCAUGACUUCAGGAUGUUAUCCUGAAUUUGGAUGUUUAAGUGUUUUCCCAUGCUUGCAGCCUCCCUGUAAUCAUACAAGCUAGAGAUUAGUAGAUACAUAUCACAGCAGGGGAUCUGGCACAGUGUACGUCUGUCUUCCUCUGCUUGGAAAGAGCAGGGACAAAUAUUAGUUUGAGAUGAAAGAGAAUGUCUUCACUUUGUUAGGAACAGGGCACCGAUAAUGGCUCUGCCUCACAUGAUUGGCUAGCCUUGUGCCAUACCCUGGGAGGCUGCCAAACUUGAGUUCAGCUGAUCCCUUGCUAUCUGCAAGGGAAGGCAGAGCCAAUGCCCACUCAACGGGACUUUGUCCUCAUGAUGGCAGGCAGCUUAUGAAACGUCAGCCUUUGCGUGUGCUGGCAUGGCAGAAAGGCUCUGGCCCUCACAAUAGCGGCAUUCUCCGUGGGCUCAGCUGGGAGAGGCUUGCACGAAGUUAAACCUGAGUGCAGGCAGGCUUAGAGCACUUUUCAGCAAGAACUCAUCAGUCAUUGGCAAUGCCCGAGGCAAUGACUGCACGUUGAAUGGGCUUUCCACAGCACAAAUAUAUGCAUGAUGGUGUGUGCAUGCAUAUAUAUAAUUGCAUGCAAAUUCUGUUAUGUGUAGGUUAAAAGCCAUAGACUCUAGUAGCUGUUAACAAUCAUUCACUACUUUUUAUACAUUCUAUGGAUGGGGCACAGGGGAGGGCUGGUCUUGUCUUAUGGAGGACCAUACUAUCCAGACACUGUGGGUUGAGCUGUCGCUAUCAGAGCGCUCAGUGUGUUGCUGCCAGAGAUCUGUUUGCAUGGAGCACACCUUUGUCAAUGCCAUUAAGUCUUUCCUGUUCAGAGAGGUUUUCAAACUGUGAGAAAAUCCCGCUCUCACUUCUGCAGUCCUUUCAACGGAUGAGUUAACUGUUCCACUGAUGCCUGAUGUUUAGAUCUGCUGCUGGCAGGAUCAGGUACAUCUUCUAAGCACACAUUGGCCCUAUGGCUACUUGUAAAUGAGGGUUAAUAAGGAGCUGGGGCUCUAAGGAGUGUAGUCCUGUUCCUUACAAGGUCUGAGCUGGGAGACUCACCUCUGAGCUUCAUUUUCACUAGCUGCUUGCAGAGGAAGUUCUGCCUUCAGCUUGAUUUGAGAGAGCAGGACAGGAUGCUUGAGGGAGCUCUCUCUGGCUAGUAGGAAAGUAAUUCAUUGGUGUGACUGUGGUUUCCCAAGCAAUCUGCUCUUUUGUUGGAAAUCAAACUAGCUGACACAGGCAAGGGGAAAUGUUUGUUCAGUUUGAGAUCAGAGGCUCUUGUUUUGAAAGCUCAGUUUUAUCCUCAGUCCUAACUUCUCUCCAUACAGCAUUAAUCACUUGUCUGGGAACAGAGGAUUUGAACCGUCUCCAGAGCUAUACAAGCAGAUUUGGUGGCUGUCAGUAGUACUCUGUAAAUAAGUCCCAGCAGGCAACUGUGUAAGUAAACAGCUUCUUUGUGAGCACCACUGCCUUUCUCCACAGUUUACGUAGUGCAACGGAAGGGUUCUGUUAGCUUUUGCAGGGGCGGUCUGAGCACCACACACAACUGGCAGGGAUGACCUGCAACUUCCAAUUGACAGUUUUACCACCUGCUUUGCUGCAGCUCAGCAAGAGCGGGAUUUGUGUCAGGGAGCCAGGAAACCAGCUGUGUUGCAGAAACAGCUGUACCAUGACAUCAUCUUUGUCCCUUGGUGCGUAUGUGUUUCAACAUAGGCUUUAAUUACACAAGCAUGAACUCACCUUACCCACAGGGCCAGGUUUCUUAAAAAUCAGUUUGUGCCCGCCAGAGGAAAGGCAUGGUUUUAGGAUGAGUGAGUGAAGGACAAAUUCUCUUUUAAUGCUUCAUGGUAGGCUUCUGAAGAAAAGCAUUCUGAUGCAACUGAGAAUAGCACGCGCCCUGAGAUCUUGACAAUUUCUUUGAGUAUUUCCCUUAGAAAAUGAUAUUUUUAUGACCAUUUACAUAGAAUAUUUCAGAAGGGUUUUUGUCCUCACAUGUGUGUGGUUGAAAAUGUAGAGAAAAGGAGUGCAUUUUCCUUUGAAAGUGUUAAUUUCUAUUAAAAGACUAUUUUUCUGCUAAGUAA